AAGGGCAGUGGCUGCCGGCUCUCCUCGGUUGAGCAGUCUCUGCCCGCGAGGGGGCGCUGGCGGCCGGGGAGUUAAGGAUGGGGCCUUGGUCUCCCGAACCCAGUGAGUGGCUUGGGUUGUCAAGACUCGUCUUUUUUUUGAUAAUUUCUUUUUGUCAUGAUGCUCUUUUGGCCUCCGACUCCGUGAAGGGAGCCAUAUUAAGAUUGCAGAAGAGGUGACCUGGAGGAAAAAUUAAAAGGCGACUUUUAAACAUAGAGUUUUUCUUUUCUCUCUCAAAUUAAUUUAGAUGUAAAUUACAUUUGGAAAGAUCAGGCUGCAAGGCUCUCAUUUACCCUCACCAGAUACUUAGAAUAAGAUUUCGGUGUGACAGUAAUUUUGCCAGUGGAGGCCGACUCCCCAAAACAUCACCCUGCCUCCAAAAUUGUCUGCCUGCAUUCACCCACGGCCCUCUCUGCAGCUACAGUGGUCUUUUGAAAAUGACCGUGUGGGACUUCCCUGGUGGUCCAGUGGCUAAGAAUCUGACUGCCAGUGCAGGAGACAUGGGUUCGAUCCCUGGUCCGGGAAGAUACCACGUGCUGCAGAGCAACUGAGCCCCGGCACUGCAGAUGUUGAAGCCUGCUCGCCGACAGCCUGUGCUCCGCAACAAAGAGCAGCCGCUGCUCACAGCUAGAGAAAGCCUGUGCACAGCCGGAAAGACCCAGCGUGGCCAAAAAUAAAGAAGGCACAGCUCAGCCUUCUUGCACCUGGAGGCGCUUAAGCACUACCGUUGGGGGCCGCUGAACAGUGAAAUCACCAACAAAAACCAACCUGAAAACCACACAGCUCUGAACAGACCGUGAACAGGACACUUGGCAGGAUGAGAGCUGAGACAAGAGGCGGAGUGUUGCCCUGUUGGGCCUCAGCUGGAACGAAACUGUCCCAUGACUCAGAUUUGUUGUUGCUCUGGGCUUGUCUGGGAAUGACCAUGAAAACUUUAUGAGUACUGAUUGGGGAAUUACAGAUAAAUUUUAGUAACUAGGCAAAUUGACAAAUACAGAACUUACAAGCCAUGAGGAUGAACCAAAGGUAGAGAGACUGGACCAGUUUGUCCAGUCACACAGAUUGGAUUCGGAAGGGCCUUGAGCUUGGUUUAAUGCUCUGCUGUUGUUACUGUCCUGAAAUUCCUAACUUAAAAACAAAAAUUAUUGUUGAUUUACAAUAUUGUGUUAGUUUCAAAUGUA